ACGAGUCUAAAAUAAACAGAAAGUAUUUUCAAGGCUCACCCGUACACCUGAAAAUAUAAAUUUGUACGGAAAACCACUUAAGGAUAACAUCCUGAUACGGGAAAAUUUACUUUAUUUAUAUUCUAUAUAAGGUAUAUUAUAAGUUUUGUUGUUAGGGAGUUUUAUACGCAUGCGUGUAAACUUGUUGGGACGCGUGUGUUGUGUGAGAUUCAGUAGUCGGGUUCAAACCGACUGUUGACAACGCUCCGGGAUUGUCGGGAUCCCGAAAAAGCGCGCGAUCCGAUCCCGAUUUUUUUCGGAAAAAAAAUUAUUUAUUUAGUCCAGUUUUUUCGUGCUGCUUAGUGAGUGUGUGGAUUGUGUGGAAUGUUUGUGUGUGUGUGAGAUGGUACGUUUCACAUAAUUUCCAAAAGGAAAGUAACGGUGACUGGCGCGGAAAAUGAGUUAAGACGGAAAAAGAAAAUAAGAUGAAAUGAAAGACGCUAACAGGAAUACCGCUAAACUAAAUCAGUAAAAGAAACAAAACAGUAAUCUAAAAUGGACGAAAAGCUCCAUCGAUAUCAGACAAACGUGACAUAGCAGGGAAAAUUUAAAUACAACAAUGCUAGAUACUACAAGGGUACCUUACUAUCACAAUAUAGCAUUCACAUCUACAUAUUUAUACCCAUCGAAAAGACCACCCGAUAACAUAACAGACAGUGUAUUCAAAGUGCGGAAUACAGCUAAAAGACUAACGCAUUUGAGUGAUGUUAAAAAUGAGACUAAAGGGACUAGUGAUCUAUUGAUGUUGGUGGAUGAUUUUAGUGACUAUUUCUAUGGGAACGCGAGCCACGAUGUGUUUACGGUGCAUAAUAGUUCGCUAGAUAUUAUCAACGAAGUAUUGAAUUGUACUUUCAAUGGUACUUUUAACGUUUCGUGCUUCGGGCGUUUUGACAGCGGUCCGGAGUAUAACUUUUGGGCGUUGCUACUGUUGAUUUUUCCUUUCUUCACUUUGUUCGGGAAUGUGUUAGUGAUAAUGAGUGUGGUGCGUGAGCGUGCUCUACAGACGGUGACCAAUUACUUUAUAGUGAGUCUGGCGGUCGCAGAUCUGUUGGUAGCUGUUGUCGUUAUGCCGUUUGGAGUUUAUUAUUUGGUAAGUGCCUAAUUUCUUUAUCUCUAAGU
rnacentral:lncRNA from 1 species